CCCCCCCCCCCCCCCGCCUCCCUGUCCCAGUCCUCUAAGGCAUCUUCCAUCCUCAAGUUGAACUCCCUUUGUUAUACAACAACUUCCCACUGGCUAUCUGUUUUACAGUUGGUAGUAUAUAUAUGUCUCUGCUACUCCCUCGGUCCGUCUCAGCUUCCCUUUCACCCCCCUCCCCCUCCCAAUCCUCGAGUUCUCCAGUCCAUUCUCUGCAUCUGCGUCCUUGUUCUUGUCACUGAGUUCAUCAGUACCAUUUUUAGAUUCCGUAUAUGUGAGUUAGUGUACAAUAUUUGUCUUUCUCUUUCUGACUUACUUCACUCUGUAUGACAGACUCUAGGUCUAUCCACCUCAUGACAUAUAGCUCCAUCUCAUCCCUUUUUAUAGCUGAGUAAUAUUCCAUUGUAUAUAUAUGCCACAUCUUCUUUAUCCAUUCAUUUGUUGAUGGGCAUUUAGGUUGCUUCCAUGUCCUGACUAUUGUAAAUAGUGCUGCAGUGAACAUUACGGUACAUGUUUCUUUUGGGAUUAUGGUUUUCUUUGGGUAUAUGCCCAGGAGUGGGAUUACUGGAUCAUAUAUGGUAGUUCUAUUUGUAGUUUUUUAAGGAACCUCCAAAUUGUUUUCCAUAGUGGCUGGCACUAAUUAUUUUUGAUAAAAUGAUCGAUUUGUACUUUUUUAGAUUCUAUGUGAGUGCUGAAUUUUACAUUGACAACUACAGUAAAUGUUAUUUAUGACCUUUGAAGAAAAAGGUGGCAUGUAAUAUCAGUAAAUUAUUCUCCUGAAAAUUUCAGUUGACCUCAAUAAAGCUGAUUUUUUUUGGCGGCACUGCGUGCCAUGUGGAACCUCCCUGACCAGGGAUCAAACCCGUACCCCCUGCAGUGGAAGCAGAGCGUCUUAACCACUGGACGGGCAGGAAAGUCUCAAAGCUGAAAAAAAUUUUAAAAAGCAAAUGUGCCUUGUGGCUAAAAAGAAAAAGUUUCAGUGUUUUUCUUCAGUAUUUUCCAGAUUUCAGUGCUAUGUAAUAUUUAUAAAUGAUAAAUGAUUCUUACCUAUUUACUUGAACAUAACCUUACUUUACAUACUUAUUUCUUAAUUUUGAGUUGCUUCAUGAACUUUAAAAUAAAUUCUUUUCUGAGUCUUUAAAAACACUUAAAAUUUUGCUUUUUAAAAAUUUGGGGGACUCCCCUGGUGGUCCAGUGGUUAAGACUUUGCCUUCCAAUGCAGAGGGUGUGGGUUUGAUCCUUGAUCCGGAAGCUAGGAUCCCACAUACCUCUUGGCCAAAAAACCGAAACAUAAAACAAACGCAGUAUUGUAAGAAAUUCAAUUAAGACUUUAUGGUCCACAUCGAAAAAAUCUUCAGAAGAAAAAAUUGUGGACUGGCCUGUCAUGCAAAAUUUGUGUUUUGUUUGGCAAAACAAAGUGACAGCCUCAGUUUUCAUAGACUUCAGAUCUUGUGUGCUCUUUUCCAGUCUGUCCAUCCUCCGUCAGAGGCAGCCACUCAUCUGUUUUGAUCACCAUACAUUGUGGUUUCAUUUUUGAACUUCAUACUAAUAGAAUCUUAGAAUGUGUUCACUGUUGCCUCUGGGUUCCUCCCUGAAGGUAGGGUUUGUGAGAUGCACAGAGGUGGUUGCAUGCACCAUCUUUUAUUACCGUGAAGUGAACAUGCCACACUUUGUUGAGUCUUCUGUUGAUAUAUUCUUGGAGUAGUUUUCAGUUUGGGGUUACUAAGAAUAAAGCUGCUGAGAACAUUCUUCUACCAAUCACACACGUCAUGUUUCCUGGGGAAACAUGUAGGAACACAGCUGCUGAAUGUAGGGUACUGUGUUCCCGUGUCCCAGCGCCCCUCUGCCUCGGGACUCUUCACCAGCCUCAGUGUUGUCAGUCAUGUCAAUUGCGCCAUUAUUGAGUUGGGGACAUAUGACUGUGGUUUUAGUUUACAUUACCCUAGUAACUUCUUUUUUUUUUUUUUUUUUAAUUUAUUUUUAUUUGUUGGCUGCAUUGGGUCUUUGUUGCUGCACGGGCUUUCUCUAGUUGCAGCAAGCGGGGGCUACUCUUUGUUGCGAUGUGCGGGCUUCUCAUUGCGGUGGCUUCUCGUUGCGGAGCAUGGGCUCUAGGCACACAGGCUUCAGUAGUUGUGGCAUGCAGGCUCAGUCGUUGUGGCACACGGGCUUGGUUGCUCAGUGGCAGUGGCACGUGGGAUCUUCCCGGACCAGGCCUCGAACCCAUGUCCCCUGCAUUGGCAGGCGGGUUCUCAACCUCUGUGCCACCAGGGAAGCCCCCCCUAGUAACUUCUGAUGUUGAGUACCUUUUCACGUACUGUGCUUUUAGCCACUCAGAUACCUUUUUUUGUGAAGUACAUUUGCCUUUCUCUUACUCAUGAUACUUUUUUUAAAAAAUAAAUCUGUUUAUUUAAUUUAGUGGUUGUGUUGGGUCUUCGUUGCUGCACAUGGGCUUUCUCUAGUUGCUGUGAGCGGGGGCUGCUCUUCAUUGUGUUGUGCAGGCUCUUCAUUGUAGUGGCUUCUCUUGUUGUGGAGCACAGGCUCUAGGCACGUGGGCUUCAAUAGUUGCGGUACAUGGGCUCAAUAGUUGUGACUUGCGGGCUCUAGAGCACAGGUUCAGUAGUUGUGGCGCACAGGCUUAGUUGCUCCUUGGCAUUUGGAAUCUUCCCGGAGCAGGGCUCGAACCCGUGUCCCCUGCAUUGGCAGGUGGAUUCUUAACCACUGCACCACCAGGGAAGUCCUAUGACUUGGUUGUGUAGUUUCAUUACUAGCUGAUGUAAAAUUCAUCAAUCUAUGUGUAACCUGUAUUUUUUUUUUAAAAGCAUAGGUAACUUUAUUAGAAGUCUGAAAAGUCAGAUGAUAUUGGGAAUCCAAAAUUGAAUUUUCAUAUUAUGUAAUUUUGUAUAAUAUCAGCUGAAAGAUGGAAGUUAUUUAUUAUAUAAUUGAACUUGUGAUACCUGGCAUGAUAACUUGGGUGGAAGAUCCAUGGAUUUGAUAGAAAAUCAAAGCCUUAGUUUGUUAUUUUUACUUCGUUGCAAAUUUUCAAUCCAGAAGAGUCAUGUGAGAAUUAAACGUUGAGAAAAUUUUUGUCUACCUUCUAAUUAAUUCAGUUAAUUGAAACUGUAGUUUCUUUUUUUUUUUGAAACUGUAGCUUCUUAUAUCAUUUGUUCAUCAGUUGAAAUUGUAUUACAUCAAAAAGCAGGAAGACCUUGUAGAUGUAUUCUCAUAUGUUUUACAGAUUUACUGCUUUCGUGGGUAUUUUUCCAAGUUUUCUUGGGAAAUGAUGACUUUGGAAUUUUUGACCUUAUUAAUCUUUUUGGUAUAUUCUUUGAAGAUAUAUUCUUUGUUGCUUAAAGAGAAUCUUUUAGGUAACAGUAGUAGAAUAAAAUUGUUUCAGUAAAAUUAUACUGCAUGUUUUGGCCGUUGUGAAUUGCCUGUAGUAGUAGCAUUUGGUUUGUUUACUGUUGAGCAGUUGGUAUUGUGGUCUCAGUCUUUGCCAUCAAGGCAGAGGGUCACAUUCAGUUGGGAACACUGUUGUGUGUAAGAUCUCCGGUGGUGGCUUUGAUCAUGUGGAUGUCCCCUCCCUCCACAUCUAGAAACUUCAGAACUUGUUUCUCAGGAGGAGACCCUGCUGCAGAGCACACCAGUAAAGAACGUGGUUCCUUUAUGGUUCGAUACCACGGGCGUCUGCUCCAGAAGAGAUCAUUGCCUUUUAGGGUGAUGGCUGGCAAGGAAGAAAGAAAACAUGGAUGAAAUUUGGCUUCCAGCAUGAACCGGAAGUUGAGAGACAGGAAACACUGGAGUUUCCUUUCAGGUGUGGUCUUGGGGACCAGGGGAUCAGCCUUUCCUGAGAGCAUCUCGGGAUGCACAGACCAACUGAAUCAGACCGCCCGUCGGUUUAACGCGGUCCCGGGGCUUUGCAUCCACGCUGCGUGAGCAGCACUGAUGGGCACCACACCACUGGGAGAUGUCACCUUCUCAAAGUAUCCUACGGCUUGUGGACACAGAUGCGACAGCCCUUUCGCAUGCUGUUGUCCAGCUCUAGAAAAUCAACGUCGCGUCGUGGUUCUGAGAGCUGGUCCCUGGAUCAGCAUCCCGAUCACCUGGAAGCUUGUUGAAAAUGCAGGUUCCCAGAUACACACUUGGUCUGCUGAACACGGUCUUGGUGCGGGUGGUGUGUGGUCAAGUCAUUUUGUGGGAGAAGUUAUUUUAAUGACACAGGAGAAACAGGCCAGAAGAAUCUGGUCUUAUUUUUGAAUUUUUUAUUUCAUAUCAACAACCUACAGAUAGAUGGAGCAAUCAUGACGCGUUCAUCCAGCCCAGUAGGAAAGCUCUUCUGUGCCAGGAAGAGGAAGUCAGGCCUGGAAACCCCAGGUGUGCUUGGAAAGGAACAUCACCCACAGGUCAGCAGAGGAUGGGAGAAGUGGUGUGUAUCCCAUCAGCGGUCCUCUGACCUUACUUAGUAAAGCUUUAGGAUUUCAAAAUAAUUUUAGGGGUUUGUACUUACUAAGAAACAUGUUGACUGCAUGAAAUAGUAAAUUUUUCUAAAUUUUUUUAGCUUAAAUAUAUGUAUUUUUUGGCCAUGUCACGCAGCAUGUGGGAUCUUAGUUCCCCAGGGAUCAAACCCGUGCCCCCUGCGUUGGAGUUGUGGGCCUUAACCACUGGACUGCCCGGGAAGUCCCAGAUUUUUCUAAAUUCUCAUUUGAUUUUAUAAAUCGCCUGUUGUAUUAUUGUAUCUGUGUCCUACUUUUGCCUGAUGUUUAGCAAUCAUUCUCCUUGUGCUUUUUCCCCCCCGUUUUAUGCAGACACUAGAGGUUCAUUGUAAAUGCUUUAGAUAGGUCUUUCUCUGUCAACUUUCUGGAUUUUAAAACCAGCAUUAGUAAAUUACUAAUGAACCAGCAAAUUCUCAUGUAACUUAACUCUGAAAGCUAUCAGUGUAACCCUGCAGAGUAGAAUUCUAUAAGCAGCACUGUAGCGUCAAAUUGCAACUGCCUGACAUUCAUUCCACUGUAUAAAUUGUACAAAUUUAAGAGUUUUAGAUAGGAAUGAUUUGAGAAGAUAGUGCUGAGUAACUUUGUAUUGCUGGACUAAGUUCAAACCCCCCAUCCAACUGGUUUAACAGUGUAUCGGCUGGUAUUCGGUGUUAGGUACUUCUCUUUGCUACUGAGUAUUGUAGACAGAAGGAUAUGUAAUGUGCUUUCUACUGUAACGGCACUCAUUAGAACUGACCAGACCUGAGUGGUAUGGUGAGUGUAGUCAAAUUAACUGGAUACCCCAAUUAUGUACCAUGUACCAUGUCCUUACCUCAGUAUACGAUCGAAAGUAGGAAUGGCUGAGCAGCGAUGAUUUUUUAAUGAAGUUAAGAUAAAAUCAAAGUAGGAAAGUGUGUACUAAUUGCUUUUCCAUGAGUCUGGAUAAAGAGCCGUGCGUCCCACUUGUAGUUGUGGCCUAGAGGAUGCAGCUGAGUUACACCUUCCGAACUUUGUGUCCUGUAGCCCCCCAAGGAGAGGGCUCUGGUUUCCGCCUGUACUAGCAUGUCUGCAAACCUCUGAUGAGACGCUGCUUGAGAACGGCUUUGUUUUUCAGGGAAAUCAUUGUUCACACUUAUUUAAACAUCACAGUAGCAGCAUUAACUGAAGUGUCUGAUCCAGUUAGCUGCCUCAUCAAGUCGGCAGGUUCAGGACCUCAUCAUCCGUAGAAUUACAAUUUCCCCACCCCAGGGCUAGGGAGAGAAGCAAGUUAAGAUGAAGAAAAGUGUAUCAAACUGCAUGGCUGUACAGUGGUUAUAUUCCUAGUGCUCCUGUAAAGGUGUGUCCUAGGCAUGCUUUUUAGGUGAUGGGAGUAUUCUUUAAAAACAUUUGUCUUACAUCUACUAGACAAGGUGCACUGCUGCUGACACGGGUCUUGUAGCCGUGAGAUGCAGUAGGAGGACGGCAUUCAGUCUAGUUGAAAAAGUCUAAUCCCAGCCACUGUUCAGCUGAACUACACAUUUCGUAUCCACCUUGUUUUGAAGUCCUGAGUCUUGAGAUAAAAAUGCAAAGACCAACACUGUGGUAUUUUAUUGAGGAACCUGUAGGAAAAGGCAGUUUUACUCUGAAAUGUCUGUACAGUGUGUGUGGUCAGCUCUCAGUAUCCACACGUUCUGCAUCCACAGACGCAACAAACCAUGGAUCGAAAAUAUCCAGGGAAGAAAAAAUUUCCAGCAAGUUCGAAAAAGCAAAAGUUGACUCUCUGCACAGAAUUUACAUUGUGUUUACAACUAUUUUACAUAGCAUUUACCUUGUAUUAGGUGUUGUAAGUUAGUCCAGAGAUGAUUUGAUGUACACGGGGGGGAUAUGCAGGGGUGAAAUGCAAAUACGCACCCUUUCCUAUAAAGGACUCAAGCAUCCUCGGAUCCUGAUAUCUGAGGGGUCCUGGGCCCAAGUACCUGAGGAUGCUGAUGGAUGAUGUGACAUUCUGAAAAUUUUUCAUUAAAAUGAAAAUUCAAGCAGUUAUAAAAUGAAUCAGGAACUUAACAGUUUCAUACAUUUCCGUAACCCAGACAGCUUGAUGUGUUAGUUUGCCAGAUAUAUUCUUGCAAGAAAUAAGCAUUAGAGCUGUGGGAAAUCACUUCACUGGGGACAGCGGCCAGCCCCACGUUCACAGUGAGCAACAAGGUCUGGCUUUUCCAAGUGACCUGAUGAGUUCACAGUUCACGUCAUAGCCUCUUUUAUGCCUCAUAGUGUCCCGCUUUAUGUUUUUUGUGCUGUCUCAGAUUCUGACUUACUGUCUUUUCAGAGAUAAAGGGUGAAGGGUGACUGCAAAUACACGAAGUCAUCACCCCCUGCUCAGGGUCUGUGUCAAAGGCCUGUGGGAAAGAUCAAACCUUCUCCCUCGACCCACCUACUCCAGGGGCUGCAAACUCACCUUAACUCGGCGCUUGGGUAACUUCAAUGUAACAUUCCCACUGGGUUUUGUGUGUGUGUGUGUUUUAAACAAAAAUUCACUAGGGCUAGUAAAAAAUUUCAAGUUAAAAAAAGUUUUAAUUUUCUUAAAUAAUCCUCAUAUGUAGCAUUCCACAUUGUGGAAAAACAUACAGUCUGGAUACAAUGACGAGAUUUCAGAACGCUGGCACAAAUACUUACAUCUGUGUUUUAUAUGUUUGACCCACCAUGUCCCAUCUCACAGACUAUAACAGAUGACAGAUCUUAAAUGCAAGAGGCUUAGAAAAGCAACUUAAAAUUUGGAAGUGUUAGCUGUGCCAGAAUUCCAAACUGCUUCCAAGAGUGUUUAGAAAUAGGUCUGAAAAUAACUCUCUCCCAGUUCUUUCUAUUUGGUCAUUGCAGCUGUACUCUGUAUGCACCUAUUAGCAACUUAACCUGUUGAAAGAAAACAAAAAAAAAGAAGAAAAGCAUGUAUUUCAAGAGUUCCCCUGUGUUAGAAAAGGGAAAAACAAAAACACACACAUGGCCAAGGCCUGUUACUCUUUUUGGCUGUAUUCUCAAAUUGGUUAUAUCAGUGUAGGUUGUUAGAUUACCAUUAUUUUAAUUAAAAAGUCCAAAUAUGUAUAAUUGGAUUUUUAGGCUGCUACACAGGCUGUUCCAGUUCAGCUACUGGUCAUACAUGUGGCAACUAACACCAAACACAGAACUUCACCAGACAUUUCAGAUCCAGGCAGGCGCUCCAGGAACAGCGCCAACAUUCCUGAAAACCCAUCUGAAGGAACAAUCUGAACAGUGAUACCAGAUGUGAGGAAAGGAUUCUCACCUUAGCGGAGGGUGCUUCUGUCAACCUUAUAAAGAGUUUAUUGAGGCCUGCGGCAGGGCUGAACGAGUAAACAAAAUGACUGUCC